CUAUCAGUAGCAAAUCGGGCGCGAAUGGUUCAGGUUAGAGAUUCAUAUUCAGUUGAUGCAUCGUUUGGAGCAAGACCAGCACCCUUGAAAUUCUUUCUCAAUUCAACAUUUAUAGGGGCAAAGGCUCCAGCAAAGGUGACUAGAGCUGAAAUCCAUACCAUUCAUGCAACGAUUGUGCUAUUUGACUUAUUAGUGCGAAAUCGCCACUGAACUUGUUUGACAAAUCGACCAAACCCAUAUACGGGGGAAGCAUUUCGAGCAUCCGACUAUAGGUAUCUAUAUCUCCCCGAAUGCCCCAUUCUCGUAUGCUUUCUAAUUAAUAUCAAAAAAUUCUUAGAAAAUCAAGAAGAUAAGGAAGUUUCUAGAAAAUCAACCAAUUCAUAUUGAUUGUGCAUUCACGCCAUUUUUUAAGGAAAUCAUGAACUUAAAAAGCUUAGACUCACGCUAAUAAAUAAAUAAAUUAAUGACCAAAAUUCUUUUAAAAAAGAAAUUAAUAAAUUAUUACAAAAACACAACCCAAACAAAUCAAGAAACUAUUCAACAAAAUUAAAACAAAGAAAGUCAAUAAAUUAUUCACCCAAACACAAGAAAUCAUUCACCAAACACAAACCCAAAAACUCAAGAAAUUAUUCACUAAAUAAAGUCAAGAAAUUAUUCACCAAAGAACAAACCAAAAAAAUCAAGAAAUUAUUAACCAAAAUAAAAAAACAAAUAAAUUAAGAAAUUAUUCACCAAAACAAAAACCAAAAACUUAAUAUUGCUUUUAUGUGAAUGUCAACUCACAAAAACCAAGAUGGAGACAUAUCAAAGUAAACGGUAUUCAUCAUGAGAACGAUUUUUUUUAUGAUAAAACCAUCCAUUAACUCACAAAAAAAAAAAUUAUGGUAGCGAGAGCUUGGGCUCUUACGUUUGGAUUGUCUAGUCACCAAAUCUCACAACGUGUACUUGAACCAACCAACAGAAAUAAUGUAGUAUACCAGAUGAUUUACGUUCUUUUUAUAGGUGAUUCCUCACCACAAAUUUUCAUGGAAAACUUAAUUUUUAAUUAAUUUUCUUUUAAAAUACUCAUUCAAAUGUAGAUCCCUAAAUUUUAGAUGCAUAAAGUAUUUUUAACCAGGUUUUCUUGAUGGAUCACAUGUAAAAAGUGUUUGUAGAGUAACUCAUUAGACAAUAUUUACAUACGUGGGUGAUGUUGCAGGGGAUGCACGUGCUUAAUAAAUGCGUUUAUUGCAAACUCACAUGUGUCGGUGAUGAUGCACGGGGAACUCCUCUGUCUAUUUCUGUCUCAAUCUUGAUUCCUAAUGGUUCGUUUGGAUAUUAGGGUAUCCAAAAUCAGGUUUUGUAUGCUCAGAUUAUCCUGCAUAAAAAUAUGUCCCCUAACUUUUUCGAUACAUGGGUAUAUAAGAAAAAAAUUGAGUUAUCCAAAACAUUGUUUUGUGUCCAUGGAAGAUAGAAGAUAACUUGUGAAUGUACUAUUUUUACACACCAAACUGCACACUUUAUUAAAUAUAAGUAAUUAUGCCAAAACAUCAGCAGAAGUAAGAGAGAUAAAC
rnacentral:lncRNA from 1 species